rnacentral:rRNA from 1 species
UAACGACGAUAUGCUUUGGGGAGCUGUAAGUAAGCUUUGAUCCAGAGAUUUCCGAAUGGGGAAACCCAGCAUGAGUUAUGUCAUGUUAUCGAUAUGUGAAUACAUAGCAUAUCAGAAGGCACACCCGGAGAACUGAAACAUCUUAGUACCCGGAGGAAGAGAAAGAAAAUUCGAUUCCCUUAGUAGCGGCGAGCGAAACGGGAAGAGCCCAAACCAACAAGCUUGCUUGUUGGGGUUGUAGGACACUCUAUACGGAGUUACAAAGGACGACAUUAGACGAAUCAUCUGGAAAGAUGAAUCAAAGAAGGUAAUAAUCCUGUAGUCGAAAAUGUUGUCUCUCUUGAGUGGAUCCUGAGUACGACGGAGCACGUGAAAUUCCGUCGGAAUCUGGGAGGACCAUCUCCUAAGGCUAAAUACUCUCUAGUGACCGAUAGUGAACCAGUACCGUGAGGGAAAGGUGAAAAGCACCCCGGAAGGGGAGUGAAAUAGAACCUGAAACCGUGUGCUUACAAGUAGUCAGAGCCCGUUAAUGGGUGAUGGCGUGCCUUUUGUAGAAUGAACCGGCGAGUUACGAUUUGAUGCAAGGUUAAGCAGUAAAUGUGGAGCCGUAGCGAAAGCGAGUCUGAAUAGGGCGUUUAGUAUUUGGUCGUAGACCCGAAACCAGGUGAUCUACCCUUGGUCAGGUUGAAGUUCAGGUAACACUGAAUGGAGGACCGAACCGACUUACGUUGAAAAGUGAGCGGAUGAACUGAGGGUAGCGGAGAAAUUCCAAUCGAACCUGGAGAUAGCUGGUUCUCUCCGAAAUAGCUUUAGGGCUAGCCUCAAGUGAUGAUUAUUGGAGGUAGAGCACUGUUUGGACGAGGGGCCCCUCUCGGGUUACCGAAUUCAGACAAACUCCGAAUGCCAAUUAAUUUAACUUGGGAGUCAGAACAUGGGUGAUAAGGUCCGUGUUCGAAAGGGAAACAGCCCAGACCACCAGCUAAGGUCCCAAAAUAUAUGUUAAGUGGAAAAGGAUGUGGCGUUGCCCAGACAACUAGGAUGUUGGCUUAGAAGCAGCCAUCAUUUAAAGAGUGCGUAAUAGCUCACUAGUCGAGUGACACUGCGCCGAAAAUGUACCGGGGCUAAACAUAUUACCGAAGCUGUGGAUUGUCCUUUGGACAAUGGUAGGAGAGCGUUCUAAGGGCGUUGAAGCAUGAUCGUAAGGACAUGUGGAGCGCUUAGAAGUGAGAAUGCCGGUGUGAGUAGCGAAAGACGGGUGAGAAUCCCGUCCACCGAUUGACUAAGGUUUCCAGAGGAAGGCUCGUCCGCUCUGGGUUAGUCGGGUCCUAAGCUGAGGCCGACAGGCGUAGGCGAUGGAUAACAGGUUGAUAUUCCUGUACCACCUAUAAUCGUUUUAAUCGAUGGGGGGACGCAGUAGGAUAGGCGAAGCGUGCGAUUGGAUUGCACGUCUAAGCAGUAAGGCUGAGUAUUAGGCAAAUCCGGUACUCGUUAAGGCUGAGCUGUGAUGGGGAGAAGACAUUGUGUCUUCGAGUCGUUGAUUUCACACUGCCGAGAAAAGCCUCUAGAUAGAAAAUAGGUGCCCGUACCGCAAACCGACACAGGUAGUCAAGAUGAGAAUUCUAAGGUGAGCGAGCGAACUCUCGUUAAGGAACUCGGCAAAAUGACCCCGUAACUUCGGGAGAAGGGGUGCUCUUUAGGGUUAACGCCCAGAAGAGCCGCAGUGAAUAGGCCCAAGCGACUGUUUAUCAAAAACACAGGUCUCUGCUAAACCGUAAGGUGAUGUAUAGGGGCUGACGCCUGCCCGGUGCUGGAAGGUUAAGAGGAGUGGUUAGCUUCUGCGAAGCUACGAAUCGAAGCCCCAGUAAACGGCGGCCGUAACUAUAACGGUCCUAAGGUAGCGAAAUUCCUUGUCGGGUAAGUUCCGACCCGCACGAAAGGCGUAACGAUUUGGGCACUGUCUCAACGAGAGACUCGGUGAAAUCAUAGUACCUGUGAAGAUGCAGGUUACCCGCGACAGGACGGGAAGACCCCGUGGAGCUUUACUGUAGCCUGAUAUUGAAAUUCGGCACAGCUUGUACAGGAUAGGUAGGAGCCUUUGAAACGUGAGCGCUAGCUUACGUGGAGGCGCUGGUGGGAUACUACCCUAGCUGUGUUGGCUUUCUAACCCGCACCACUUAUCGUGGUGGGAGACAGUGUCAGGCGGGCAGUUUGACUGGGGCGGUCGCCUCCUAAAAGGUAACGGAGGCGCUCAAAGGUUCCCUCAGAAUGGUUGGAAAUCAUUCAUAGAGUGUAAAGGCAUAAGGGAGCUUGACUGCGAGACCUACAAGUCGAGCAGGGUCGAAAGACGGACUUAGUGAUCCGGUGGUUCCGCAUGGAAGGGCCAUCGCUCAACGGAUAAAAGCUACCCCGGGGAUAACAGGCUUAUCUCCCCCAAGAGUUCACAUCGACGGGGAGGUUUGGCACCUCGAUGUCGGCUCAUCGCAUCCUGGGGCUGUAGUCGGUCCCAAGGGUUGGGCUGUUCGCCCAUUAAAGCGGUACGCGAGCUGGGUUCAGAACGUCGUGAGACAGUUCGGUCCCUAUCCGUCGUGGGCGUAGGAAAUUUGAGAGGAGCUGUCCUUAGUACGAGAGGACCGGGAUGGACAUACCUCUGGUGUACCAGUUGUCGUGCCAACGGCAUAGCUGGGUAGCUAUGUGUGGACGGGAUAAGUGCUGAAAGCAUCUAAGCAUGAAGCCCCCCUCAAGAUGAGAUUUCCCAACUUCGGUUAUAAGAUCCCUCAAAGAUGAUGAGGUUAAUAGGUUCGAGGUGGAAGCAUGGUGACAUGUGGAGCUGACGAAUACUAAUCGAUCGAAGACUUAAUCAA